GAUGAACGCUAGCGGCAGGCUUAAUACAUGCAAGUCGAGGGGCAGCACAGAUAGCAAUAUUGGGUGGCGACCGGCAAACGGGUGCGGAACACGUACACAACCUUCCUUUUAGUGUGGGAUAGCCCAGAGAAAUUUGGAUUAAUACCACAUAGUAUAUUGGAGUGGCAUCACUUUGAUAUUAAAGAUUUAUCGCUAAAAGAUGGGUGUGCGCAUGAUUAGGUAGUUGGUAGAGGUAACGGCUCACCAAGCCUUCGAUCAUUAACUGGUGUGAGAGCCAGACCAGGCAGACGGGCACUAAGACACGGGCCCGACUCCUACGGGAGGCAGCAGUAAGGAAUAUUGGUCAAUGGACGGAAGUUUGAACCAGCCAUGCCGCGUGAAGGAUGACGGCCCUCUGGGUUGUAAACUUCUUUUAUGUGGGACGAAAAAGGGCCAUUUUUGGUCAACUGACGGUACCAUAGGAAUAAGCACCGGCUAACUCCGUGCCAGCCGCCGCUGUAA
rnacentral:rRNA from 1 species